CCGGCGCGCGCCCCGGUGCUCGGGACGCGUCUUGGGGACAGGCCAGACCCAUGUCCCCAGGGGCCGCCACUGCAUUGCUGGGGCGGGGGAGGAGGGCCGUCCGGGACGGGAGGCCACCCCUCCCUGGCAGCUUUGCUGGGAAGCUGAGAGCAGGCCGCUCCCCGCCCUCACCCGCCUGCCCCUCUGCCGGCAGAGGACAAAGACCCGCCUGAAGUUCGAGGGCCCCAGCCCCACCUCGCACGGAUCUCAUACUACACGUGAACAAGCUAAAUUUAACACUCCAAAAGAAAGGAACAAUUUAUUUGUGAUUUAGCCAGCGUGUGACAGAGUCAAAACCAGUCUGUUCUUAUCUGAUAAAACAUGGAUGAUGAGAAAACCUCUACUGAGCACCUGCUUUUAUAACUGUAUCUCGUGUCGGUUAGAGUUCUUUGGCUUCCAGUGAUAAGAAUCAGUUGAAGAAAAAGCUAAACAUCUAGGACUCAAGAAGACCCAGAACCAGGACAGCUCUGGAGAUAAAGGAAUGAGUAGCUCAUCUGUCCAAAGGGAAUGGAUCACUCCACUGAUAAGUCAGUUCUUGGGAGACAGUAAGAUCUAGACCCAAGCAGGUUCUCCUGGCAGGGGCACUAGGAUCAGUCUCUCACUGGGUGCCAUCUUGCUUUCCUAAAUUCAGUUACAUUGUAUCAUACUGUCUAUUCUCUGAGCAACUCCUGCAUCCUUCUCCUUCCUUUUUUCCUUGUUACCCAAAGUUGGUUUCUGUUGCCUGCAACUAAAGAACCAUGAUACAAUGUUUUUGUUCUCUUUCAGUUAGUUAGUUAGUUUAGGUAGUCAGACUUCUGGACACUUCCCUGUCAUGCAUGUUAUGACAAAAUUGCUUGUUGUGGUUUACUUUUGGCUGAAUCUUUAUGGUAGAUACAAAAUUAGAAGUUUCUUAAAAAUGUUUUCUCCCCUCUGCAGUUGGUAGGGUACAAGGGUUAAGGCUGGAAAUUCAGGCAGGAUAAAGGGCAUGAAACACACAUAGAAAGGACAGAGAGAACAACAGGAGAGAAGAAAGAAGGAGACAGAACUUGAAAGCAAUGCUGGUGUGGGCAAGCGCUGCUUCUUUCUGAUGGUGCUCACAGGUCGUGAAGCCACCGGAAACGUCCCGAACCGCGUGUCUCUGGGACGGACGCACCACCGCUGAGCCCUGCGCGGGAGGAAAGAAACCACAUAAAGCGCCUACAAGGGAGAAAAAAGAAACGUGAAAACAUCUUCUCUUGUAUUUCGGGGUUUUCCUCCCUUCUGAGUUUCGUAUGAAUCAAACAGGUGUGCGUUCAAAGCCUGCAAGUGUGUCUUCAUCCGCUUUUCAUCAUUGGCUUCCAGAAAAUUCAGAUCUCUUGGAAAGGAAGAAAAGUAAACAGCUGAGCACUGUGACUCAUUUGCACUUCAAAUAUACUUUGAAUCGGUUAUUCCUCAAUUAAUCAAAAAGCUGGUGUAUCCCAAAAGUAGUAUAAAGUGACACGCUGUGUGAAAUCAAUUUUGCUUUCCAAAAUCAUUAAAUCCAGUAGCCUGUGACUACAUCCCUGCUAAUUCUGGUACCAAUCCUUUCAUCCUCCAUUAACUUUGGCACGCCUAACAGGCUGUCAAGAAUAAUUUCCCAGGACGUAAAUAAUUCAGAAAUUAAAAAUUAAUAAAUAAUAACAGAGAACUACUGGGAAAUAGGCUGGGUCAAUUAGUGCGCUCUGCAUUCUGUUUCUUCGCAGCGGGUGGGGGGGGACACAGCCACAUUCGUUACUCGAAUCUUCCCUUCAAUUCUGAGGUCUGAUUUACAGCUCUUCAUUACUGGAACCAGUCAGACGCAAUUACCUCCAUCAGUAUCUCAGCUCCUAACUUCAAAGAAACCAACAUUUUCUUGUCUGCUUUUUUUCUCCUUGCAGCAGGCUCAGCUUGACAUCCCUGGAAUUUCUUCCACGCAGACUAAUUAAUAAGUCUCCGACUUAUCAUAUUCACUUCUCUUCUUUGAUGUGCUACCUUAGUCAAUCAUCCCAUUUAAUUAGAAUUUCAAUGAUAACUUUACUUAUCUUGUGGCUAGAUGUAAAUUAAAAUAACAGGAUUUUAAUUCUUUCUCGUAUGGGGUUAUGGCAUUUCGGAAGAAAAAGUUUCAACACAAACAUGAUAUUAUGUGCUUUUUACUUUUUGUGUGGGGGUAGGGGAGCAGCUUGCAAAAUUAUUUUCCUCUUGCUACAGCACAGUAUUACUGACGAGCAAGCAAUCAUGGGAAAUGCACUGGAUUUUUCUAUAGCAUCAUUUCACCAAGCUUUUCACAGGAAAACCACUGUCAUGAUUUGCAUAAAUAAUUGGAACAAGAUACAAACCCUUUUAACUUUUUGCCCUUUUCUGUCAAUUCAUGCUGUUUCCCAUUUUGACAAAUUCUGUAGUGGUUUCUUUAGUCCUCCCCAAAAUGCCACAAGGAAAUAAAAAGCUUCUCCCAAGAAUACAGCAAACAUUAGUAUAGUGCGAGACGUGACACUGAUGUGCACAGCUGGAUAAUAAGGUACAGCAGAAGGCAGCUUUCAUUUUUACAAAACAACACUGAGACCAAUAUUCACUGAGCAUGCCCUGGGUGCCAGCCUCAGUCGUAGGCUUUGCCUGCUGAUUCCCCCAGCACACCCGUAAUACAGGGUCAUCGCCCCCAUGUGCAGACACACAGUCUCAACGACCUCACUUGCUUGCUGAAAGUCACAAAGGUAGCGCGUGAGGAGGAACAAAUUAGAAGAGUUUGUGAGAUAAAGAGAGUUUAAACCUUUUUCUUCUUAUUAUUCUUUUUUU